rnacentral:rRNA from 1 species
UACGUAGGGUGCGAGCGUUAAUCGGAAUUACUGGGCGUAAAGCGUGCGCAGGCGGCUUGCCAAGUCAGAUGUGAAAGCCCCGGGCUCAACCCGGGAAUGGCGUUUGAAACUGGCAGGCUAGAGUUUGGCAGAGGGGGGUGGAAUUCCACGUGUAGCAGUGAAAUGCGUAGAGAUGUGGAGGAACACCGAUGGCGAGGGCAGCCCCCUGGGCCAAAACUGACGCUCAGGCACGAAAGCGUGGGGAGCAAACAGG